AUCUAGAGUUAUAAUACCCUGAACACACCUGACCUUGUUUGUUCUCAGAAGCUAAACAGGGAUGGGCCUGGGUGCUGCAGGUC
rnacentral:rRNA from 1 species